rnacentral:rRNA from 1 species
UACGUAGGGCGCAAGCGUUAUCCGGAAUUAUUGGGCGUAAAGAGCUCGUAGGCGGCUUAGCAAGUCGGGUGUGAAAACUCCAGGCUCAACCUGGAGACGCCACCCGAUACUGCUAUGGCUAGAGUCCGGUAGGGGACCACGGAAUUCCUGGUGUAGCGGUGAAAUGCGCAGAUAUCAGGAGGAACACCGGUGGCGAAGGCGACGACCUGGUCCGAUACUGACGCUGAGGCGCGAAAGCGUGGGGAGCAAACAGG